GGAGGGUGCAAGCGUUAUCCGGAUUUACUGGGUUUAAAGGGUGUGUAGGCGGGCUAUUAAGUCAGCGGUGAAAUCUCCGGGCUCAACCCGGAAACUGCCAUUGAUACUAUUAGUCUUGAAUGUUGUUGAGGUGGGCGGAACGGGUCAUGUAGCGGUGAAAUGCAUAGAUAUGACCCGGAACACCGAUUGCGAAGGCAGCCCACUAAGCAAUGAUUGACGCUGAGGCACGAAAGCGUGGGGAUCAAACAGGAUUAGAUACCCUGGUAGUCCACGCCCUAAACGAUGAUUACUCGACGUUGGCGAUACACUGAUCAGCGUCCAAGCGAAAGCAUUAAGUAAUCCACCUGGGAAGUACGUUCGCAAGAAUG
rnacentral:rRNA from 1 species